rnacentral:miRNA from 1 species
UAAUUGAUUACAUGUUU